GACGAACGCUGGCGGCGUGCUUAACACAUGCAAGUCGAACGAAGAGCGACGGAAGCUUGCUUCUAUCAAUCUUAGUGGCGAACGGGUGAGUAACGCGUAAUCAACCUGCCCUUCAGAGGGGGACAACAGUUGGAAACGACUGCUAAUACCGCAUACGAUCUAACCUCGGCAUCGAGGAUAGAUGAAAGGUGGCCUCUACAUGUAAGCUAUCACUGAAGGAGGGGAUUGCGUCUGAUUAGCUAGUUGGAGGGGUAACGGCCCACCAAGGCGAUGAUCAGUAGCCGGUCUGAGAGGAUGAACGGCCACAAUGGGACUGAGACACGGCCCAGACUCCUACGGGAGGCAGCAGUGGGGAAUCUUCCGAAAUGGACGAAAGUCUGACGGAGCAACGCCGCGUGAGUGAUGACGGCCUUCGGGUUGUAAAGCUCUGUUAAUCGGGACGAAAGGCCUUCUUGCGAAUAGUGAGAAGGAUUGACGGUACCGGAAUAGAAAGCCACGGCUAACUACGUG
rnacentral:rRNA from 1 species